GGGGCUGAUUCUGGAUUCGACGGGAUUUGCGAAACCCAAGGUGCAUGCCGAGGGGCGGUUGGCCUCGUAAAAAGCCGCAAAAAAAUAGUCGCAAACGACGAAACCUACGCUUUAGCAGCUUAAUAACCUGCUUAGAGCCCUCUCUCCCUAGCCUCCGCUCUUAGGACGGGGAUCAAGAGAGGUCAAACCCAAAAGAGAUCGCGUGGAUGCCCUGCCUGGGGUUGAAGCGUUAAAACGAAUCAGGCUAGUCUGGUAGUAGCGUGUCCGUCCGCAGGUGCCAGGCGAAUGUAAAGACUGACUAAGCAUGUAGUACCGAGGAUGUAGGAAUUUCGGACGCGGGUUCAACUCCCGCCAGCUCCACCA
rnacentral:tmRNA from 1 species